rnacentral:misc_RNA from 1 species
AGGAGGACGCCGAAGGUGGGGCUAAUGACUGGGGUGAAGUCGUAACAAGGUAGCCGUACCGGAAGGUGCGGCUGGAUCACCUCCUAACAGGGAGACAACAAAAUGUUUAAUAUUAUUAUUUUGUCACCUUAGGUCGAUCGGUAUCUCACGUUUUUAAUUUAUUAAGAAUUUCAUUUCCUAAGUUUUUCUAGGUCACACCCAUUAUUUUUCCUGGGCCAUUAGCUCAGGUGGUUAGAGCGCACCCCUGAUAAGGGUGAGGUCCCUGGUUCAAGUCCAGGAUGGCCCAUAUCUCUAUGUUGGGGGUAUAGCUCAGUUGGUAGAGCGCCUGCUUUGCAAGCAGGAUGUCAGCGGUUCGAGUCCGCUUACCUCCACUGAUUACCACCUCUUCCAUAACCGGUAGAAAGGAAAUGUUUUGAGUUGUGAUCAAAUUCUGAAAGAAUCUAGCUUCCUAAUGAAAUCAUUAAGAUGCUGGACUCAUUGAAUUAAUUUCAUUGUUUUCAGAGAACCUUGACAACUGCAUAGAUUAUUUUUAAAGACAAUAAGCAUCUUUAAUGAUGCAGAUUUAUUAUUUGUGCGAAUGCAUUAAAUAACAAUUCUAUUAAGCUGAUGCUUCAUUUUUGAAGUUAUUGGUCAAGCUACAAAGGGCUCACGGAGGAUACCUAGGCACACAGAGGCGA